rnacentral:rRNA from 1 species
AGCAGCCGCGGUAAUUCCAGCUCCAAUAGCGUAUAUUAAAGUUGUUGCAGUUAAAAAGCUCGUAGUUGAAUUUCGGGGUUAGUAGGUUGGUCAUGCCUCCGGUAUGUACUGGUCUCACUGAUUCCUCCUUCCUGAUGAACCGUAAUGCCAUUAAUUUGGUGUUGCGGGGAAUUUGGACUGUUACUUUGAAAAAUUAGAGUGUUUAAAGCAAGCUAACGCUUGAAUACAUUAGCAUGGAAUAAUGAAAUAGGACGUUCGAUCCUAUUUUGUUGGUUUCUAGGAUUGACGUAAUGAUUAAUAGGGAUAGUUGGGGGCAUUAGUAUUCAAUUGUCAGAGGUGAAAUUCUUGGAUUUAUUGAAGACUAACUACUGCGAAAGCAUUUGCCAAGGAUGUUUUCAUUAAUCAAGACGAAAGUUAGGGGAUCGAAGACGAUCAGAUACCGUCGUAGUCUUAACCAUAAACUAUGCCGACUAGGGAUCGGAUGAUGUUAAUUUUUAAUGACUCAUUCGGCGCCUUACG